AGUAUUUUACAGGCCAGCCAAGGAAGUAACUGAAUGCACUUGCUUGGAGAAAGAAUAGAAGGCUCAGAGAAGAUGUCCAAAUCUGGUGCACCCCUGCCGCACCAGGCAUAUUAUUCUAGGCUGCUGUGAAAAUGUGGCUGCCAGGGAACGUGAAGGCUCUGGGCAAAAUCUGGAUGAUUUUUCUCUUUGGUUUGUGGGCUUCUGGAGACCAUGACUAAUGAUGGAUUUGUGAAGCUUCCAUGUAGAUCCCAUGUCUCAUGCCUGGUUGCUCUGAUCAGAAGGAGGCACUCUGCUCUGCUUGGAAGCAGUACUUUCAGAGGACACCAGGAGUUAUGUGGGCCCUGUUUUCCUUCCUGUGGAGGAAGAAGCAUUCACGUUCACAUGCUAUUAGUUGUUUCGAGAUUGUUUAAGAAGCCACGGCUUGAACUAGCAGGGGAUCUUUCCUUCAGUGACCUUUGCCAGAGCAGCUGAUUGGUGUGCUCCAGCUGCAUGCCAUCAUUUUCUUGGGAAAAUUUUAAGACUGUCAGAAAAAUGAGCAUCUUCUUUCCUAGCCCUUACUGACAUGUAUGGGCUUUGCUGGCCUUUCCAACUCCAGUGUGGGAGGGGUUGUUUGUUUUCCUUUUAAAUGUUAUCCUGCCAUCCUCCUUUUUUAACAAUGCUGUUAUAUACAUGAAGACUUGCUGUGUAUUCAGUGUGGCACAUGGAUGGAGUGGAUGCUUUGAACUGCUUUUGCAACAAUGGAUUCUGCUUGACUGAUAAUGAAACCAUGGGAUAGACCUCAGGGAGUGGUAAAGAGAUGAGGGAUCGUGAGGUCACUGUGCCAUGUGGGACAUCAACUGAAUGUGCCAAAGAUUGUGAACAUGAGUCUUCUCACAAGCCCUGUUGAUGAUGUUGGAGAAAGCAUUUGUCCUGGACAAGAUGGUUCUCAGCUCCUGUAACUCAAAUCUGUGCUUAUUCUGGGGACCUUUCAAAUAAGUUUCUCGGUGGUCAACAAUUGUAUUAGCUAUUCCUCUUGGCUUAGGAAUAGACUGAGAGACCUGCUUUAAAAAAGGUCUACUGACAUAAAUGAUCCAUUCUUAUCAGUGUUUAUACCAUCACUAGCUGGAUUUGAAACUAUUCCCAGUUCAAUAUCUGAUUGCCAAUACUCUGAGCAGUCUUUCAAGGUCAGUGAAGUGGCAUCAUAAAUGAAGUAUAAAAUGUAUCAUACCAGUGGUUUACAACAAGCCCACAGCACAGCUCAGUUAGUUGAUGGGCCAUCUCUGUUUAUGUUAGCUGUUAAAAACUCAUGCACACAGCCAUACUAAGUACUGAUGCCAUCAAAUGUGGUCAACACAGACAGUUCAGCCUGCAAAAGUGAGCCAGAAAAGGCAUUAAAAUGCUUAGUCUAUUACAUACUUCCUUAUUUUUGUCAUUUUGACAUUUAUGCGUUGUAUCAUUGAGGCUUUUGAAAAAGAAGACACAAUUCCUGAAGCAAACUGAACGGAGAUGUUCAGUUUAUAAUGCCACAGCCGUCUGGUUUGCAUUUAAUUCCAAUUGACCACCUGCAUGCUGUUAACCUCUGGAAGGUUACUGUGAUCACAGUUGUUGUUGUUUAUUUAAAAGUUCUGUAGCUCAAGGAAAAUGUUAGUAAUCAGUUACUUAACCUACACUGUUUACUGAUCUCAUUGAACUUGCAGAUGCAGCUUUGCUGGCCAGUGAAAACUGGGAGUUGUCUGGUGCCAGUAAUAGCUUGCACUUAUUUUUCAGGCAGGAGUAGGUUGAGCAAUUAAAAUAAUUUUAUUUUUUUAAUAAAUAUGCUCUUUGUCUGUUGGCUAUUUGUCUAAUAUGUCAAAAUCCAAAAUAUAACUUAGAGCAUGUGGAAGGUAGCUCUAAAUGAGCCAAAAUUUCACAGAGGCAUGCUUGAGUUGUGAAUGCAGCUGGCUACACAGGCAAACCCCCAGAGCUGCAUGUGAAAACAUACAGGAAUUGCAGAGGUAAUUCAAGUGUAUAAGACAGAUGCAUUCAUAUUAAUGUUCUCUGGCCAGGAAUACU